UACGUAGGGGGCAAGCGUUGUCCGGAUUUACUGGGCGUAAAGAGCGCGUAGGCGGACGUUUAAGUGUGGCCUGAAAGCCCCCGGCUCAACCGGGGAUCCGGGUUGCAAACUGGACGUCUUGAGGGGGAUAGGGGAAGGUGGAAUUCCUGGUGUAGCGGUGGAAUGCGCAGAUAUCAAGAGGAACACCGAUGGCGAAGGCAGCUCGCUGGGACGGUACUGACGCUGAGGCGCGAAAGCGUGGGGAGCGAACAGG
rnacentral:rRNA from 1 species